GAUGAACGCUGGCGGCGUGCCUAAUACAUGCAAGUCGAGCGGAGAGACGAGGUACUUGUUCCUCUGACGUUAGCGGCGGACGGGUGAGUAACACGUGGAUAACCUACCUAUAAGACGGGGAUAACUUCGGGAAACGGGAGCUAAUACCGGAUAAUAUCUUGAACCGCAUGGUUCAAUAGUGAAAGACGGUUUUGCUUUACCUAAUAGAUGUAUCCGCGUCGCAUUGGUUAGUUGGUAAGGUAACGGCCUACCAAGGCAAGGUAGCUAAGCCGACUGGAGAGGGUGAUCGCCAACUCUGGAACUGGACCACGCUCCAGACUCCUACGGGAGGCAGAAGUAGGGAAUCUUCCGCAAGGGGGGAAAGCCUGCCGGAGCACGGCGGCGUGAUUGAUGAAGUUCUCCGGUCCGUAAAACCCGGUUAUUAGGGAAGAAGAAAGGUGGAAUGAACUACGCACGUAGUGACGGUAACUAAUCAGAAAGCCACGGCUAACUACGUG
rnacentral:rRNA from 1 species